CAGUAGCCACGGUAAUACGUUGGGUGCAAGCGUUAAUCGGAAUUACUGGGCGUAAAGCGUGCGCAGGCGGUUUGUUAAGACAGAUGUGAAAUCCCCGGGCUCAACCUGGGAACUGCAUUUGUGACUGGCAAGCUAGAGUGUGGCAGAGGGGGGUGGAAUUCCGCGUGUAGCAGUGAAAUGCGUAGAUAUGCGGAGGAACACCGAUGGCGAAGGCAGCCCCCUGGGCCAACACUGACGCUCAUGCACGAAAGCGUGGGGAGCAAACAGGAUUAGAGACCCGCGUAGUCCCUGUCUCUUAUAC
rnacentral:rRNA from 1 species